GGUUGUGGCUCAGUGGUAGAGCGAUUGCCUAGCAUGUGUGAGGCCCUGGGUUUGAUUCUCAGCAUCA
rnacentral:tRNA from 1 species